rnacentral:precursor_RNA from 15 species
UUUUUCCUCAUGAUGCCCUCCAUGUGCCCCAGCUGUACUUGAAGCAAUUUUUUUUAUAUCUAUUGUAAAAAAAAAGUUGCAUCUUGAACAGCAGUGGCCCUUGGAGAAGAACCUUCUGCCAGAGA